AGUAACAUAGGUUGUGCUAUGCUAAAAUUCGAAGGAUACAGAGAAGAUUAGCAUGGCCCCUUCGCAAGCAUGACACGCAAAUUUGUGAAGUGUUCCAUAUUUUU